UUGUUGUAGGAAAGGAGAGGAAUUAAGUAACCCCCAGGAAGAGGGCAGAUGAAUACAUUACAUUGUUACUAUAACAUAACAUGGUGGAUUCUUGUGCAGCCAUUACAAAUGACAAUAUAGAUUUAU